AGUGAACGCUGGCGGUAGGCCUAACACAUGCAAGUCGAACGGCAGCACAGUAAGAGCUUGCUCUUACGGGUGGCGAGUGGCGGACGGGUGAGGCAUACAUCGGAAUCUACUUUUUCGUGGGGGACAACGUAGGGAAACUUACGCUAAUACCGCAUACGACCUACGGGUGAAAGCAGGGGAUCUUCGGACCUUGCGCGACUGAAUGAGCCGAUGUCGGAUUAGCUAGUUGGCGGGGUAAAGGCCCACCAAGGCGACGAUCCGUAGCUGGUCUGAGAGGAUGAUUAGCCACACUGGAACUGAGACACGGUCCAGACUCCUACGGGAGGCAGCAGUGGGGAAUAUUGGGCAAUGGGCGCAAGCCUGAUCCAGCCAUGCCGCGUGAGUGAAGAAGGCCUUCGGGUUGUAAAGCCCUUUUGUUGGGAAAGAAAAGCAGCAGGUUAAUACCCCGCUGUUCUGACGGUACCCAAAGAAUAAGCACCGGCUAACUUCGUG
rnacentral:rRNA from 1 species